UAUUUAGGUUAUACUGCCUGUGUGUCAUUUACUUGCAUUUUAUUGUUUGGUGUAUGCUGCUGUGAAGCCUGGAUUUCCCCACUGUUGGAUCAAUAAAGUCUCAAGUAAAGUACUUUUUCUAUUUCUAUUUUUAAAUGACUAUUUUAAUUCAGCAUUUAUAGUUGUGGAACACCUUGCUGUCUCAAUAAUUUGAAUAAUAAGAGAGACCAUUAAAUUAUGUCAUGAUAAUGAAGUCACAACGAGGAAAGACGGUGAUUUCAACAGCAGUUUAAAGCAAAAAUAAAUAGACAGAUUGGGGAAUUGGCCACAGCAAUAACAAAUUUUGGAAGGAAAAAUUAAAAACUCCGCCCGAACAGGGACUUGAACCCUGGACCCUCAGAUUAAAAGUCUGAUGCUCUACCGACUGAGCUAUCCGGGCUCUGCAUUCCAGAGGCGGAAGCACCCUUUAUAAGGCAGAACCAUACGUCACACGUUAACACCUUUUAUUGUUGUACGGCGAAACAACACCUCGACUGCAAUGACAGCAUUUUCUGACCGUACAUUUUUCCAAGAGAAAAAUACAUCUGUACGUUGACUUGGUGUAAAAUUUAAGGUUGAUAAGGCGUUCAACACGAAAAUUGUUUGAGAAAAAAAACACAUACGCUUUUCUCUUGUAACAAAUUAAGGACCUGGCGCGUGCUAUCAGUGAAACCACUCAGAAACUGGAGGAGGUGCGGCAGGAAAGACUACGUCUCGAGGAGGAAACCGCUCGCUGAGUCUGCUGAUCAGGCAAAGUAAUGAAGCACAGCAGGGUCCUGGUUUUAUAGCUUCAAACAUUUUAAGUCUUUGUGUAAUUACUCAGCCCUCACCUGGGUUUUGAUCUCUGUUCUCAUCUGCAGCAAAAAAGAAACUGAGCAGAGAAUGAAGUUUAUGAUGGAAAAUGGUGCAAUAGGUAAUGCAUUGCACCAACUAGGCAAGCUCCUAUCAAAGGAAAAGCAUCUCUCAGAACAUCUGGAUCAACAGGCUGCCUCACACAGAAAUAAAAUUUGUAUUUUGGAGGAGCAGCUCAAGAGUGCCUCAAGUAAGGUCCAAAGUCUUACUGCUGAAAUCCUGGAGGUGGAAGAUCGCUUGGCAGAGCUCAAAGCUUGUGACGGUGCAGGACAAGCUUCAAGUCCUGUGGCAACCAGAAAGUCAAAAAGAAAAACAAUAAAAAAGUAAAUUGUUUCCAGGGACAGUUAUUUUCUUUUAAU